rnacentral:rRNA from 1 species
UACGAAGGGGGCUAGCGUUGUUCGGAAUCACUGGGCGUAAAGGCGCGUAGGCGGCCGAUCAAGUCGGGGGUGAAAGCCUGUGGCUCAACCACAGAAUUGCCUUCGAUACUGUUUGGCUUGAGACCGGAAGAGGUUAGUGGAACUGCGAGUGUAGAGGUGAAAAUUCGUAGAUAUUCGGAAGAACACCAGUGGCGAAGGCGGCUCACUGGACUGGUAUUGACGCUGAGGUGCGAAAGCGUGGG